AGUCGAACGGUCUUUUCUAUGGAAGCUUGCUUCCACUGAGAAGAUAGUGGCGAACGGGUGAGUAACACGUGGGUAACCUGCCCAUAAGAGGGGGAUAACAUCCGGAAACGGGUGCUAAUACCGCAUAGUUUUCUUGAUCGCAUGAUUGAGAAAGGAAAGACGGCCUUUGUGCUGUCGCUUAUGGAUGGACCCGCGGCGUAUUAGUUAGUUGGUGAGGUAACGGCUCACCAAGACGAUGAUACGUAGCCGACCUGAGAGGGUGAUCGGCCACAUUGGGACUGAGACACGGCCCAAACUCCUACGGGAGGCAGCAGUAGGGAAUCUUCCGCAAUGGACGAAAGUCUGACGGAGCAACGCCGCGUGAGUGAAGAAGGUUUUCGGAUCGUAAAACUCUGUUGUCAAAGAAGAACAAGUCGGAGAGUAACUGCUCCGGCCUUGACGGUAUCUGACCAGAAAGCCACGGCUAACUACGUGCCAGCAGCCGCGGUAAUACGUAGGUGGCAAGCGUUGUCCGGAUUUAUUGGGCGUAAAGCGAGCGCAGGCGGUUCCUUAAGUCUGAUGUGAAAGCCCACGGCUCAACCGUGGAAGGUCAUUGGAAACUGGGGAACUUGAGUGCAGAAGAGGAGAGUGGAAUUCCAUGUGUAGCGGUGAAAUGCGUAGAUAUAUGGAGGAACACCAGUGGCGAAGGCGACUCUCUGGUCUGUAACUGACGCUGAGGCUCGAAAGCGUGGGGAGCAAACAGGAUUAGAUACCCUGGUAGUCCACGCCGUAAACGAUGAG
rnacentral:rRNA from 1 species